GCUGCCGCCGGGGCUCCCGCCGCCGCCGCCGGGUGCCUUGAGGAGCGCCGGGACGCCGCCGCCUCCGCCGCCGCCAGGCUUGGCGCUGCCGCUGGCGCCGCUGCCCACCAGCAGAGCCGCGGGGCGGCUCCUCACCGCCAGCUUCUGCCGGGGGAGAGGAGAGAGAGAGAGAGAGGCGCCAUCGUCACCGGGACGAGGAAGGACCGGGGCCCCGCCGCCCGCCCGGCCGUGUCCGAGGGCGGCUGCCGCAGGGUGGCGAGAGGGGGAGGCCGGGCCAGGGCUCGUGGAGCAGAGCCCUCCAGCUGAGUUCCUCUUGGGCUCACCCCAAACGCCGCCCGAGCCCUUUCUCGACUCCCCUUAAACUCUACCUCUUCUUCUUCACAGCGCUGCUUUCAGGUUGCUCCAGAGUGGUUCCUCUCGUUUGUAUCACCAACACCAUCUAGGCAACAGAAAACAUCAAAGCAAACAAAUCUCCAAGAUCCCAAAAGAUCAAUAUGUGGUAGAUCAGUCGUACAGGCAAGUAAAUAAAUAGAUUAUUACUUUCCUGACAGAAUUUAAUAGCUAGUAAUUGUUUUUUCUCUCGUUCCAAUAGGGGAAAAUAUCCUGAGAAGUACAAAAGCAGAAAUUCUGCAAACAAACAAACAAAAUAAAAUCACUACUCAAACAACCAUCUGUCUAUUUUCUGCCGUUCUCCCUACGUACAUUAACAAUGAGUUAGUUUUGUGACUCUUUGCACAUGAUACGUGUUAGUGUUUUGUCAAUAAAUUGAAAAAAAUGUCUACGUGUAUUUAUGGAACAAAAAAAAUAUUAAAGGAAGUAAGUGCUACUGCUUGCUUCAAAGUCUAAUUUGAGAUAAACAUUAAACACUCAAUGUUGACUGUUCA